AGAAACACUGUAACAACAAAAAGAAAAGGAAAAAGGCAGAGAGUGAGUAUUAGAAACUGAAGCUCACAAUUAUGACUUUGAUUAUCGUUUUUAUUUAAAUUUAUAGUCAGAAAUAAUCUUUAUUCUGUUGUAUCAUUUAUUUAUGUUGUUUUAUUUAUUUAUUUAUUGUUUGCAAAUUACUUAACCUUUUGGUUUCUAUUUAUCGUUUGAUUUCAAAAUAGUUUUGUAGUUUAUUGUGUUGUGUUAAUUGUUUAUUUCAUUGCUCUUCUUCUCACCUCUCUUUGUUUUUAUUUUCUCUGCUCAUCUUUGGUGCUCACUUCCCAAUCAAAAUAGUCCCUUCGCAAAAGCAACAGAUGGAGAUUGUGAGUUCCAUUGCAUCCAAAGUUUUCGAACUGUCGGUAGAACCCAUUGUGCGUCAGAUCAAAUAUGUAUUCAACUACAGUGACAACAUCCACAACCUUGAAGAAGAAGUUGAAAAGCUCACGGAUAAGAAACAAAGGGUUGAGCACGCUGUG
rnacentral:misc_RNA from 1 species